CCUACGGGAGGCAGCAGUGAGGAAUAUUGGUCAAUGGGCGCGAGCCUGAACCAGCCAAGUCGCGUGAGGGAAGACGGCCCUACGGGUUGUAAACCUCUUUUGCCGGGGAGCAACGGGCGCCACGUGUGGCGCCACUGAGAGUACCCGGAGAAAAAGCAUCGGCUAACUCCGUGCCAGCAGCCGCGGUAAUACGGAGGAUGCGAGCGUUAUCCGGAUUUAUUGGGUUAAAAGGGUGCGUAGGCGGAGCGUUGAGUCAGUGGGAAAAUUGGGGGGCUCAACCCCUUCCCGCCAUUGAAACUGGCGCUCUUGAGUGGAAGAGAAGUAUGCGGAAUGCGUGGUGUAGCGGUGAAAUGCAUAGAUAUCACGCAGAACCCCGAUUGCGAAGGCAGCAUGCCGGCUUCCGACUGACGCUGAGGCACGAAGGCCAGGGGAGCGAAAGGGAUUAGAUACCCCUGUAGUC
rnacentral:rRNA from 1 species